GACAGAGGAUGCAAGCGUUAUCCGGAAUGAUUGGGCGUAAAGCGUCUGUAGGUGGCUUUUUAAGUCUGCCGUCAAAUCCCAGGGCUUAACCCUGGACAGGCGGUGGAAACUACCCAAGCUGGAGUACGGUAGGGGCAGAGGGAAUUUCCGGUGUAGCGGUGAAAUGCGCAGAUAUCGGGAGGAACACCUAUGGCGAAGGCAGCUCGCUGGGACGUUACUGACGCUGAGACGCGAAAGCGUGGGGAGCAAACAGG
rnacentral:rRNA from 1 species